UACAGAGGGGGCAAGCGUUGUUCGGAAUUACUGGGCGUAAAGGGCGCGUAGGCGGCCCGCUAAGUCGAACGUGAAAUCCCCGAGCUCAACUCGGGAACUGCGUCCGAUACUGGCGGGCUUGAAUCCGGGAGAGGGAUGCGGAAUUCCAGGUGUAGCGGUGAAAUGCGUAGAGAUCAGGAGGAACACCCAUGGCGAAGGCAGCUCUCUGGUCGACAUCUGACGCUGAGACGCGAAAGCGUGGGGAGCGAACGGG
rnacentral:rRNA from 1 species